AGUGAACGCUGGCGGUAGGCCUAACACAUGCAAGUCGAACGGCAGCACAGUAAGAGCUUGCUCUUACGGGUGGCGAGUGGCGGACGGGUGAGGAAUACAUCGGAAUCUACUUUUUCGUGGGGGAUAACGUAGGGAAACUUACGCUAAUACCGCAUACGACCUACGGGUGAAAGCAGGGGAUCUUCGGACCUUGCGCGAUUGAAUGAGCCGAUGUCGGAUUAGCUAGUUGGCGGGGUAAAGGCCCACCAAGGCGACGAUCCGUAGCUGGUCUGAGAGGAUGAUCAGCCACACUGGAACUGAGCCACGGUCCAGACUCCUACGGGAGGCAGCAGUGGGGAAUAUUGGACAAUGGGCGGAAGCCUGAUCCAGCCAUACCGCGUGGGUGAAGAAGGCCUUCGGGUUGUAAAGCCCUUUUGUUGGGAAAGAAAAGCAGCAGGUUAAUACCCCGCUGUUCUGACGGUACCCAAAGAAGAAGCACCGGCUAACUUCGUG
rnacentral:rRNA from 1 species